AUGCAGGAGGAGGAGGAUCUUCUGGGCAACAAGAGGAAGUGGGACAAGACUGGGUUCUACCCAUAUGAGUCUGAUGAAGAUGAGCCGUACGAGUAUGAAUCUGGAGCUGAUGUGGUCGAGGGGAACAUCGAGUCCUUUAAAGAGAAGGAGGUGUUGAAGAUCAGGGUCCAAGGACCUGCUAAGUACUACAACUAG
rnacentral:rRNA from 1 species